GAUGAACGCUGGCGGCGUGCCUAAUACAUGCAAGUCGAGCGAACGGACGAGAAGCUUGCUUCUCUGAUGUUAGCGGCGGACGGGUGAGUAACACGUGGAUAACCUACCUAUAAGACUGGGAUAACUUCGGAAAACCGUAGCUAAUACCGGAUAAUAUUUUGAACCGCAUGGUUCAAAAGUGAAAGACGGUCUUGCUGUCACUUAUAGAUGGAUCCGCGCUGCAUUAGCUAGUUGGUAAGGUAACGGCUUACCAAGGCAACGAUGCAUAGCCGACCUGGGAGGGUGAUCGGCCACACUGGAACUGAGACACGGUCCAGACUCCUACGGGAGGCAGCAGUAGGGAAUCUUCCGCAAUGGGCGAAAGCCUGACGGAGCAACGCCGCGUGAGUGAUGAAGGUCUUCGGAUCGUAAAACUCUGUUAUUAGGGAAGAACAUAUGUGUAAGUAACUGUGCACAUCUUGACGGUACCUAAUCAGAAAGCCACGGCUAACUACGUG
rnacentral:rRNA from 1 species